UAUUGGAAGCUUUUUCUACAUAUGUUUCAAAUGUUCUAGUUGAAUUUUUAUAACCAAAUGAUUCAAAAUGUUAUCGUAUUGCAUUUCUACUUUGAUAACAUAUUAGCUUGCAGGCAAGAACAGUUUGAGAACUCCGCAGCAGGAAGGGCUGCUAAAGCACAGCUAGCAGCUGCGUCCAAACAAUCUAAUAAUAACAGUAAAGGCGAACCAGUUCUUAAGUGGCAGAUGGGAUGAUGUUAUGUCUUUAUGUGGCUGACUUCAAUUACACAAUGUAAGUAUGCACAGUUUUCCUUUAAUAUGUUAUAUUAGAGACUCUGUUCUAGCUGUGUAUGGAGUUUGAGUUUUGUUUCAUUAAAUGUAACAAACAAGACAUGUUAUAAUUUUAAUAGAUAUUUUAACAGAAUCAAUGUUUUAUUUGUGCGUCUAAUUGGUUCAUCUCUUUGUAAAGGCCAUAUUCUUGAAUAGUGAUUGGAUUCAAACAGUGGGCUGUGAUGUUAUAGGAGUUACAUGCUGUCUCAUUUUUA